rnacentral:rRNA from 1 species
UACGAAGGGGGGCUAGCGUUGCUCGGAAUCACUGGGCUUAAAGCGUGUGUAGGCGGACGCCUAAGUGUCUUGUGAAAUCCCACGGCUCACCCGUGGAACUGCUGGGCAUACUGGGCGUCUUGGGCCAACUAGGGGCAGCCGGAACAAGCGGUGGAGCGGUGAAAUGCGUAGAUAUCGCUUGGAACGCCGAAGGUGAAAACAGGCUGCUGGGGUUGCGCCGACGCUGAGACACGAAAGCCAGGGGAGCAAACGGG